AACGGGUGAGUAACACGUGGGUAACCUGCCCAUCAGAAGGGGAUAACACUUGGAAACAGGUGCUAAUACCGUAUAACACUAUUUUCCGCAUGGAAGAGAGUUGAAAGGCGCUUUUGCGUCACUGAUGGAUGGACCCGCGGUGCAUUAGCUAGUUGGUGAGGUAACGGCUCACCAAGGCAACGAUGCAUAGCCGACCUGAGAGGGUGAUCGGCCACACUGGGACUGAGACACGGCCCAGACUCCUACGGGAGGCAGCAGUAGGGAAUCUUCGGCAAUGGACGAAAGUCUGACCGAGCAACGCCGCGUGAGUGAAGAAGGUUUUCGGAUCGUAAAACUCUGUUGUUAGAGAAGAACAAGGAUGAGAGUAGAACGUUCAUCCCUUGACGGUAUCUAACCAGAAAGCCACGGCUAACUACGUGCCAGCAGCCGCGGUAAUACGUAGGUGGCAAGCGUUGUCCGGAUUUAUUGGGCGUAAAGCGAGCGCAGGCGGUUUCUUAAGUCUGAUGUGAAAGCCCCCGGCUCAACCGGGGAGGGUCAUUGGAAACUGGGAGACUUGAGUGCAGAAGAGGAGAGUGGAAUUCCAUGUGUAGCGGUGAAAUGCGUAGAUAUAUGGAGGAACACCAGUGGCGAAGGCGGCUCUCUGGUCUGUAACUGACGCUGAGGCUCGAAAGCGUGGGGAGCGAACGGGAUUAGAUACCCUGGUAGUCCACGCCGUAAACGAUGAGUGCUAAGUGUUGGAGGGUUUCCG
rnacentral:rRNA from 1 species